CCAACAUACAAAUUAUACAAAUCAAUACUAACAGAAUACGGUACAACUUGCUUUAUAUAUUAUUUAUAUAAUAUUUUCAUGAGAAUAUGUACAAUACCACAAAAGAGGGUUCAAUUGGACCAUGGACAUGGAUAAUGGAUAAUAAACAUGGACAAUGUGUUAGAAGGGUUCACCAAUAAAUUAAAAGGUAUUAUAAGAAUAAGACAUCUUAAUAUAUAUAUACCUAUAUAUUUAUUGAAUCUUUGCAGAUAUACAAUGCAUUUACAGAGACUGCUGAUACAAAAAAAUAAAUAGUAUUAAAGAAAAGAAAAAAUAUUUAUAUUGUACAGGAUUUAAAUAAAAUAAUGAUGACAAUAUUUUAAAUUAUUUAUAACACAUGACAGUACACCAUUUAAGUUUUAUUGAAUAUUAUUUUGAUUAAUUAUUUGUUAUUAAAUUUUAGGGUAUUAUUGUUAUCGUAACUAAUUAAUAAUAAGUAUGUACCUAUUAAUGUUUAUAAGUCUUACAAUACUAAUAUCAAUAAUAAAAUAAUCAUUACUGAUAUCAAUUUCC